rnacentral:rRNA from 1 species
UACAGAGGUCCCAAGCGUUGUUCGGAUUCAUUGGGCGUAAAGGGUGCGUAGGCGGUGAGGUAAGUUGGAUGUGAAAUCCCAGGGCUCAACCCUGGAACUGCAUUCAAUACUGCCUUGCUAGAGUACUGGAGAGGAGAUUGGAAUUCACGGUGUAGCAGUGAAAUGCGUAGAUAUCGUGAGGAAGACCAGUGGCGAAGGCGAAUCUCUGGACAGUAACUGACGCUGAGGCACGAAGGCUAGGGGAGCAAACGGG